CUGGCCUGCCGGUCUCACCGGCACUUGGCAGAGGUUUGGCGCAUUCGGCAGCACUGUGCCGUUAACGUCCGUAGGGACCUGCAGCCCCUAUGUGGCAGGAAGCGACACCUGAAAGAGGGGAUCUGGACGCUCAGACGACUUUGUUAGAGGAAGGAGAGUCUAUUAGGCGGGCGGAAUGUGUGACAAGUUUCCAGAAGGCCAUUCAGAGAUCUACAGGGCUAAUCUGCAGCCUGCUGCAUCCGUCAUUUCUGCAGCCCUUCCCUUUGCAUGUAACAGCGGAUGCACCGGAUGCUGCGCCAGCGGAUGCACCGGAUGCUGCGCCGGCGGAUGCACCUGACGCCCCGACAGCGGACGCAUACCAUGACAUGUCUCCGGCGUGACUCUGAUGAAACUGGACUCUGGGUGAUGACGACGUUGUCAGAGCGGGUUCACCAGUUGUCACGAAUGUUCCAUCUGGAGCGGGUAUUGACAAAGCGAAGGCUGUGUGUGUUGGGGGAAGCUGGGGGGGGGCGGUAUAUGGGAAACCUGUACAGGUAUGCCUCUCAAUUUUGCUCUGAACCUCUAAAGAAUAACAUCUUUAAAAGAUAUCAUAUAGAUGCAGGUGAUAUAAGGUCAACUUCAGUCAUAUUUUUUCUGAGCUCCAAUUUCCAGGUCAGUCUUUUAUUCUUAUUGGCAAAGUCUUGAGUGUCCAGGGACAAGGCCCCGCAUGCACGUGCCCUCCCACCCCAUUCUGUCAUGUCCCUGUGUCAGGUGCAGAGGCGCUCCGUGAGCCCCCCCUGCCCCAGCAUCCGGCGUGACAAGGUAAACUGAGGAAGGUGGUAAGAGGCGUGGAAGGAGGUGGUUUGAUUGCGGGGCUCAAGUGCAUUUCGUGCUGUGAGACCAUAACGUUCAGCACGUCGGAUAACAGACGGGAGCAUCGUCAGGCUUCCAAACCAUGAGCUUCUUUCUCACCUCAAGCCGCGUAAAAACAACCCGCCUAAGAACCGCUGUACUGAGUCUCCGCUAUGCACUGGGCCGUGCGCGUGCUGCUUCGCCCCAUUCCAUGAGUCCUGGGGAAUGUUAUCACCAUUUCACAGAUGAGGCACCCGAGUCACAGACAGUUCCAUAUCACUGAAGAAAGCAGUGGCAACACCUUAUAAUUGUACUAUGUCACACUUCUCUCUCUCUGUUUUUUGUUGGUUUUACCCAUAAUAUAUUUAAUCACUCAUACCUGUGCCUGCCAAAAUGAAGAGACCUGAGAGCGACACCUGUCUUUCUCUUAUAGCUCAGAACAGUAGUAUUUCUGUUAUAAACAUUAUAAAGUCUUCAUCAUAAAAUGCUGUCUCUUGAAUAUUUCAGGUGACAUAGCAGGUGAUGAUGCAGUUUGUGCAGAGAUUUAUAUUUCCAUUAUAGAAACAACAAAAAAAUUGAAAUAAUCUUUGCCAAUUUAUAUUUUUAUUAGGAAAAGGAGCCAGUCUUUUAAAGCGCGACGAUCUUUGUGCGUUUCCUGCUGUGGAGAUCGCUGUCAUAUUUAGAUCGUCUCGCUCUGGUUUUCCCAGGUUGCCACCUCGACUGAUGGGUCGACCAGACAUCUCUUCUUGGGUCGACCAGACAUCUCUUCUUGGCAACCUUCACACUUUUUAGUGCCACAGUCGAGGAGAUUCGGGUAACAGGAUAGAACAGGGAAGAACUGUGCAGUCUCGAGUCUUGGCUUCUCUGACAGAUGCUGUCCUGGCCCCUGGAGGUUCCUUCCCACGUCUGUUGGCUUUUCUUCCUUCUUUCGAGCCAUGGAUAUGAACAGUGCCCGAUAUUCCGUUGUUUUUAUUCCUUCCAUCUAUAACUUGUCAUUCUGUUACUCUGGCUUCAAUUAACAUUGCCCAGUUCAGUCUAGUCUCACCUUCUCUGUUAAUCCGACACUGUCGGCCAUUCGAUUCACUUAGAUGACGGCGGAAGUUGAAAGACACACUCAUUGCCGCCUCUCCAAUAAAACCUGUGUCUGACCAGAAUAGUUUUGAAAAUGCUACUACUGUUCAUAGAUACUUAAGGAAUUAUGGAAUGUUCUCUGUGUUCUCCUUUAUUUAUCUCCCAUAUUUAGUCACCUCACUCUCCAGCGGGUCUACCAUGUACAUGGCAGAAUAUAAAUGU